CCGGUAGUGAAGCCCGUGGUGAGCGUGUACCCAGCAGCAUCCAGAGCCCACCAUGAGGGGAAGAGCUCCCUGCUGUGUGUGGCCUCAAACAUGUUUCCUCCUGUAGUCCGCUUCUCCUGGAAAAGACGAAAGGUGAAUGGUCCUCUGGAGGAGCUGCCCCUAGCUGAGGGAGAGAGAAAUUCAGGAUGCACCGCCGCCAUCAGAGUGAUUGAUCGGGAUGCUCUCUACACAUAUAAAUACCGCUGUAAUGUCCAGCACGAGGGGGGGAAGGUGGAGGCCCAAACAGAACAAGAGAUUUCUGCACCACCAACACUUCCACCAUUACCUCCACCAACACUUCCACCAUUUAUUCCACCAUCACCUCCACCAUCCGCGCCCGUCCAGUCCUGGCACAGAGAGAGGUUACUCUGCCUGAUGUACACAGCACUGAUAGUGAAGAGUCUGGUGUACUGCUGUGGACUCUCUCUGCUGAGGAUCCUCAGAAACAAGGGACCGUCCACCGACCUCACACAAGUGACUGACUGACUGUCCUACUGCAGCUUUAACGCUCAACGUCUGCUAAAGCCUGAAGAUAAAGUCUAGAGCCGACCCCUCUUCUAAAACCAACAAUGAAUUGAUCGAUUAACAAGUUCUGUCUGUGUAGGCAACAUCUGAAUUGCACAUACUGUCCAUCAUUUGGGUGACACAUUCCUUCAUUAUGACGAAUGUGGUUCAAUGUAGUUUAUUGUUUUCAAUGGUGGAAACAACACACACUGGACUUGUUAGCAGAUACAUUCAGUAAUUUUGUUGAUAACACCAACAUCAUCCUUCAGUCCAUUUCUUGUUGAUAACAUCUAAAUUAUUAAAUUUUCUGGAGAAAAUAAAUGUGGAUGAUACAGAUAAUAUCAAGAAAAGUGUUAUCUCAGGAUAACUUCAUAAAAAAUCUACAUCUGAUCAGAAGCUCACUAAGAACUCCCGCAACAACGUUCAGUUAUUUUCUAAUAUAAUGCGUAAUUUAUACAUAAUACUGAGUAUGUCUGUUGAUAUUAUCCAUGUUAUCAGCUUUAGUUACAGUUC